UAGGGAAUCUUCCGCAAUGGACGAAAGUCUGACGGAGCAACGCCGCGUGAACGAUGAAGGCCUUCGGGUCGUAAAGUUCUGUUGUUAGGGAAGAACAAGUACCGUUCAAAUAGGGCGGUACCUUGACGGUACCUAACCAGAAAGCCACGGCUAACUACGUGCCAGCAGCCGCGGUAAUACGUAGGUGGCAAGCGUUGUCCGGAAUUAUUGGGCGUAAAGCGCGCGCAGGCGGUCCUUUAAGUCUGAUGUGAAAUCUCGUGGCUCAACCACGAGCGGCCAUUGGAAACUGGGGGACUUGAGUACAGAAGAGGAGAGUGGAAUUCCAUGUGUAGCGGUGAAAUGCGUAGAUAUAUGGAGGAACACCAGUGGCGAAGGCGACUCUCUGGUCUGUAACUGACGCUGAGGCGCGAAAGCGUGGGGAGCAAACAG
rnacentral:rRNA from 1 species